rnacentral:rRNA from 1 species
UACGGAGGAUCCAAGCGUUAUCCGGAUUUAUUGGGUUUAAAGGGUGCGUAGGCGGCUUAUUAAGUCAGGGGUGAAAGCCGGUGGCUCAACCAUCGCAGUGCCUUUGAUACUGAUGAGCUUGAAUACACUUGAGGUAGGCGGAAUGUGACAAGUAGCGGUGAAAUGCAUAGAUAUGUCACUGAACACCAAUUGCGAAGGCAGCUUACUAAGGUGCAAUUGACGCUGAGGCGCGAAAGCGUGGGGAUCAAACAGG